CAAAUAAAAGCUUAAGUGAGGCCUGAAGCAAAGGUAACAUUGUAUACUAUUUUACAAACAUUAAAAUUUCAUUUUAUUUUCCAGCUGUGCCAACCCAUUGUUUUCAACAGAUGCAAGUAACUGUUAUGUAUCAAAUAAUAACCCACUCUUCCUCAGUUGUUCAAGGUUAAACAAACAAACAAAAAAAUGUCUUUUUCCUGUUAGCAAUAAUGCCUUCCGCUGAAGGUAGCACAUCCCCAAGCCUGCUCCCCCAGACCUCAUCCCUUGGCAAAGACUCAAAGCCUUUCCUGAGGCAAACAUGGGUCUGAAUGUACUGGGGUCUCUGGCUGGUGCUGGCCCUGGAAACCCACAUGUUGCAGCAAACCUUCAUGUUUGUUGCAACAUGAAGGAGAUGGGGGUCAUGAAGGCAGGGGCUUUCAUAUUUCCCAUAUGUCCAAUGCUGUGUAUCUUUUAUAGUUGGGGGGAUUUUCCAGGAAUGUGUCAUUUCAUCAUUAGCUUUCAAAGUAUUUAUUUGCAUGACCUUGGAAGGCAAUAAAACCACCUGAGAGGGUUAUCAUCAACUCCUCAUCCUUAGCUUAAUGCUCUCGGUAUGCUGUGAUGAAAUUGUGUGUUUUUCUGAUUGGACCCAUUGCAGAACUGCAUGAGAAGAUGCAUCCAUGUACUAAGGGCUGUACCUUAGUACGAAACGACCUUAGAGGAUUUCCAUCAGGGAUGUCAGUCUGCAUGCUUGGGGGGCCAUUUUUAUUCCCAGAGGUAUUUGGGAAUUUGGCUAAUGCAGCCACGGUAGUACAACAGCAUAUUGCUUUAAUAAAGGCAGCCAGCUCCCAGCUAUUUCUGCAUCCUCCUUCACAGCUCACCUACAGCAACACGCAGAACCUGACGGCUGCCAGUUGCAGCAAGGCCAGUUCCAUGGGCCAGAUCUCUCAGUCUAAAAUUGCCCUGCUCUAAAUAGAGGAGCCGGGCGAGAGAAGAACCAAGGCUGCGGCUUUCCCGGGGAGGAACCACAGUGCCGGCGCUACGUGACUUGCCCUGGACACCCAAGAAGCUCCUGUCAGCGCGCGGAGCUCCCACAUCCCGAGCCUGACCUCGUGUCGUGCGCUCGUCCCGUGCGUGCGAGCGCCCUAGAAGGCACUGCUUGUUUUUCUACCGUCUAUUCCAGAGAAAUCCAGCUGGCAGAGGAGCGCAGCGCCGUGAUUGAUUUGAGAACUCCCUCGUACUCGCCUGAAGGUCUCGCCGCCGGGGGAAGAAGGGGAGCGCGGGAGGCUGCGCUUCUCGGCGGCCGCUCCGCUCCCCGCCCGGCUCGGCACUCAGGUAUAGAGCGAAGAGGGGAGCGGGGAUUUCCUCGGCUUCCUCCCAUGCACAUACCUCCCGGGGAGCAGCGGCGGCAGCCCGACUCCCCUCGGCGGCCGCUGGGAGGCUCCGUGCCUCGCCCCGGCCUCCCGGGCGCCGCGUCCCCGGCCGCGCUCUCCCUCCGCCGGUGACACCCGCCUCCCGCCCCCGCAGCGCCCCGCUCCGCUCCGCUCCGCGCCGCACCGAGGGGCCGCGGGCAGCGCCAGCACCGGCAGCGCCGACAGCCCACCGGCAACCACCCACCCGCCGGGCCGGGCAUGGAAUUUACAAAAACACAAAGGAAAAGUGGCCGCUGGACUGUUCUGGGGGCAAAAUGCUGGAAGUUUUGGCUGGAUUAAGCAAAGGCGAAACGUGGUCUGGAAGUCCACUGACUGACAUUGUUCCGGACCGGGGAAUCCGUCUCUCUGAUUUUCAGAGGAACUACAGUUUAGCGGCAGCCAGCCGGACACAGUCACACGCCGGAGAGUGGCCAGGAACGAGCGGGCGAGAGAAACGAGAAAGCACAAAGACUAAACUAACCCGAGCCGCCUCCUCCUCCUCCUCCUUCCCCGGCUCUUUAUUUGCACAUUUACUAAAGACUUAAAAAAAAAAAAAA